rnacentral:rRNA from 1 species
GCUUGCUUGGUGGAUCAGUGGCGAACGGGUGAGUAACACGUGAGCAACCUGCCCUGGACUCUGGGAUAAGCGCUGGAAACGGCGUCUAAUACUGGAUAUGAGACGUGAUCGCAUGGUCGUGUUUGGAAAGAUUUUUCGGUCUGGGAUGGGCUCGCGGCCUAUCAGCUUGUUGGUGAGGUAAUGGCUCACCAAGGCGUCGACGGGUAGCCGGCCUGAGAGGGUGACCGGCCACACUGGGACUGAGACACGGCCCAGACUCCUACGGGAGGCAGCAGUGGGGAAUAUUGCACAAUGGGCGGAAGCCUGAUGCAGCAACGCCGCGUGAGGGAUGACGGCCUUCGGGUUGUAAACCUCUUUUAGCAGGGAAGAAGCGUAAGUGACGGUACCUGCAGAAAAAGCGCCGGCUAACUACGUGCCAGCAGCCGCGGUAAUACGUAGGGCGCAAGCGUUAUCCGGAAUUAUUGGGCGUAAAGAGCUCGUAGGCGGUUUGUCGCGUCUGCUGUGAAAUCCCGAGGCUCAACCUCGGGCCUGCAGUGGGUACGGGCAGACUAGAGUGCGGUAGGGGAGAUUGGAAUUCCUGGUGUAGCGGUGGAAUGCGCAGAUAUCAGGAGGAACACCGAUGGCGAAGGCAGAUCUCUGGGCCGUAACUGACGCUGAGGAGCGAAAGGGUGGGGAGCAAACAGGCUUAGAUACCCUGGUAGUCCACCCCGUAAACGUUGGGAACUAGUUGUGGGGACCAUUCCACGGUUUCCGUGACGCAGCUAACGCAUUAAGUUCCCCGCCUGGGGAGUACGGCCGCAAGGCUAAAACUCAAAGGAAUUGACGGGGACCCGCACAAGCGGCGGAGCAUGCGGAUUAAUUCGAUGCAACGCGAAGAACCUUACCAAGGCUUGACAUAUACGAGAACGGGCCAGAAAUGGUCAACUCUUUGGACACUCGUAAACAGGUGGUGCAUGGUUGUCGUCAGCUCGUGUCGUGAGAUGUUGGGUUAAGUCCCGCAACGAGCGCAACCCUCGUUCUAUGUUGCCAGCACGUAAUGGUGGGAACUCAUGGGAUACUGCCGGGGUCAACUCGGAGGAAGGUGGGGAUGACGUCAAAUCAUCAUGCCCCUUAUGUCUUGGGCUUCACGCAUGCUACAAUGGCCGGUACAAAGGGCUGCAAUACCGUGAGGUGGAGCGAAUCCCAAAAAGCCGGUCCCAGUUCGGAUUGAGGUCUGCAACUCGACCUCAUGAAGUCGGAGUCGCUAGUAAUCGCAGAUCAGCAACGCUGCGGUGAAUACGUUCCCGGGUCUUGUACACACCGCCCGUCAAGUCAUGAAAGUCGGUAACACCUGAAGCCGGUGGCCUA